UGGGGAAUAUUGGACAAUGGGCGCAAGCCUGAUCCAGCCAUGCCGCGUGAGUGAUGAAGGCCCUAGGUUUGUAAAGCUCUUUCACCGGUGAAGAUAAUGACGGUAACCGGAGAAGAAGCCCCGGCUAACUUCGUGCCAGCAGCCGCGGUAAUACGAAGGGGGCUAGCGUUGUUCGGAUUUACUGGUCGUAAAGCGCACGUAGGCGGACUUUUAAGUCAGGGGUGAAAUCCCGAGGCUCAACCCCGGAACUGCCUUUGAUACUGGAAGUCUGGAUUAUGGUAGAGGUGAGUGGAAUUCCGGGUGUAGAGGUGAAAUUCGUAGAUAUUCGGAGGAACACCAGUGGCGAAGGCGGCUCACUGGACCAUUACUGACGCUGAUGUGCGAAAGCGUGGGGAGCAAACAGG
rnacentral:rRNA from 1 species